rnacentral:rRNA from 1 species
ACGGGGAGCAGCCCAGAGUCUGAAUCAGCUUGUGUGUUAGUGGAACGGUCUGGAAAGUCCGACGGUACAGGGUGAUAGUCCCGUACACCAAAAUGCACAGGUUGUGAACUCGAAGAGUAGGGCGGGACACGUGGUAUCCUGUCUGAAUAUGGGGGGACCAUCCUCCAAGGCUAAAUACUCCUGACUGACCGAUAGUGAACCAGUACCGUGAGGGAAAGGCGAAAAGAACCCCGGCGAGGGGAGUGAAAAAGAACCUGAAACCGUGUACGUACAAGCAGUGGGAGCACCUUCGGGUGUGACUGCGUACCUUUUGUAUAAUGGGUCAGCGACUUAUAUUCUGUAGCAAGGUUAACCGUAUAGGGGAGCCGCAGGGAAACCGAGUCUUAACUGGGCGUUAAGUUGCAGGGUAUAGACCCGAAACCCGGUGAUCUAGCCAUGGGCAGGUUGAAGGUUGGGUAACACUAACUGGAGGACCGAACCGACUAAUGUUGAAAAAUUAGCGGAUGACUUGUGGCUGGGGGUGAAAGGCCAAUCAAACCGGGAGAUAGCUGGUUCUCCCCGAAAGCU